UUAAUAUUAAAUCAGGAAAAAAUUCACACGAGGUGCACUCUUCCUUUUCUCUCCGGCCUCCCCCGGUGCAGCCUCUCCGGUCAGUUUCCGCUCUCGAGUCGGAGCUUAUGGCAUGGGCCAUAACAAGCCUAGCCUAGGCGUUUUAAGACCCAUCACAGCGGCCAAUCUAGUAGAACCCAUCACGCUCCCAGUCCCAGACCCCUUGUAUUUCACUCUGUGUACGUAGAAAUGAAGUUCAACUCAACGUCUUGCUCGUCGCCACGGUUUGUUUCUUCUUCAACUUUUUUCAGGGAGAACGACCCUCUCCCAGCUGACCCAGGUAUUGAUUUUGCUGGUUUUACGCUUCUUCGUUCGGGUUAUUGCAGGGGGAAGUUGACAUUACAUUUUUAGAAAAUCUCUAACAACUUUAGGAACUCUUUAGUGAGUGAUGAUGUCUUAGACUUUAAGUGUGAUUGAGAAAGUGCCAUAGUGUGUAUGCUGUAGCUGUAGGUGCUUCAGGGACAUGACGGCUCCAACUGUUUGAUGAAAUGCCUCAGUGGUGAUUGGUUUCUGUUUGCUAGUUUGAUCUGAUAUGAUUUACUUUUCGUGAUUAGAUUUCAUCAUGGAAAUGGCCCCUCUAUUGAAAGCAUGAAAAACAAUAUUAUCAUGGAUCAAUAAACUGUACUCUUGUUGUUGGGAAAGUUCAAGUGGGGUCAUGCUUUUCUUUCGCUAAGCCUGUAUUCUAUUUCCCAUUUUUGCUGAGUUUCAAGCGCGAAAAUUUUCCUAUGAAGCAAGUUUUAAGAGUUGAGCCAAAAGUUCGGGUCCUCUGACGAAUUUAAUCUGGAAGUGCCUGUGAUAAUCACAUUGCUCAAGCCUCGUUGAGGAAUUCUGACUCAGCCAAUGGUGCUCUUCCAAUACAGGAAGCCUUAGAACUAUCGUUGUUGAUGAAUCUAAGGAACGUGUCGCUAGUAGACUCUGUAAAUUGCUGUAUAUGUCUUGUACGAAUUCGAUCAUUGAGACAUCGACUGAUACGGGGAACUUUUGAAGGCAUAUUCUGAAUGUAGCAAUGAUACUGAUAUUAUAGCAGUUUAAAAGACUUGGCUCUCUCAGCAGGCUCAGGUUCCCAAGGCUCCAUCGGACAAUCAAGGUGAUGCUGUGGUGUCUCUUAGCGAUGAGGAGGGUUCUAAUUCAAUUCUGAUCGAGGGCUUCCAUCUCUUGAGAGGAAUAUGAAUUGCUUGACUUUACGGGAAAGCAAGGAAGAGAGUUAAUAGAGAUGCAGUCCAAGUUUGCCGCUUAUUCGGUAGUCAGCCAUGAAUCUGUGGAUACUAGAAAGUGAAAAAGUUUUGCAUUUGCGAAGUAUAAAUACAGCAUUUUUAAUCAUAUGUGUUAGAAAGAACACUUUUUGGAGGGGUGAACACUCAUUGCUCGAGUUUGAAGCAUCAUUAAUCAUAUGUGUUAGACUA